UGUAGACUUAUUAUCGCGCACGUACAAAUCAAUCAUCAAAUCGUUUCCAUACUUCACGAGACUUGUAUGAUGCUAUAAAACCGAACCAUCAUCACCGUUUGCACCCGCAAUCGAUCCUCUCGACACCCUUUCACUCACUCGCAAACACCCUCUCAACUCUCUCAGUCUCUUACAUCACUCAACCGGAACAAGUUCAAGCUCGCCGGAGGCUCACCGGAGAACCGAAGACGCCGGAAGAUCAUCACGGGAAUCCCUCACCAUUUCGGUAUACCUUUUCUUCGAUCAAAACGUUACAUUUUGUUUCACAAACAAACUACAUAAUUAAUUAACAUAUAUGAACAAGUAACAGUGGGUGGGUGUAUUUUCGGUUUGGGAUAAAACGUAUUCGCAACUCAUUUCGGUAUAUAAUUUCUCAUUCCAUUGUUACUAGAGUAAUCUUCUUUUGAUAUGUAUUCAGUUCUAACGUAUUUUUGCCAUUCAAAACAAUUGAAUCUUUGAGUUUCAUAACAUACAGAUACAUAAUGUUUUUUUUUUUUAAAUGAAGAUGAACCAGCGAAGCACUGUUCAAAUGUUUUAAAAAUAAAACCUUUCCAAAUCAGUAGUUGUAGUCCGUGGUCACUGUCGUUUUCGAAUAACCACGGAGGUCCCGGGUUCGGGUCCCGGGUCUGACCGUUUUUAUUUUUUAUUUGGUUUUUGUUUUUAGUCUUUUUUUUGUCUUUUUGUUGUCUUUUUUAUUUUAGAGAAAAAUGCCCGGAUAGUCCCUGUGGUUUCGCAUUUUUUCAUCUAUAGUCCCCAACUUUCUAAAACUACUUGAAUAGUCCCCAACUUUUCAUUUUUUGUUCCCGGAUAGUCCCUGGUAUGGAUGUGGGUUAGUUUUCUCAGUUAAAUUGUUAUGAAAUGACUAUAAUGCCCUUACUAUUAAAAUGAAUAAUAAAAAUAUUUGAAGUUUAUUUAAUUUAUGUGAGCCCACUUCAUCAUCCCAACCUACACCCACACCUCUGUCAAAACCCAAAUCAACAACCCCCAACCCCACCGAUCAAUCGCCAGCGACGAGCAUGAAGAUAACGAAGUAAAGGAAGCCAGAUCUUGUCGGAGAAACAUCUAUAGAAUUCUUUAGAUCUCGAUCUCCACACUGAAUUGCUAUUACCUUCAUCAUACCAAUCGUUUUGCAUCUUCAACAAUUCCAAAUGUCUUCUUGUUGUUAAGCAAAUCUGCAGUUGUUUGAUUAGUAGAUUAUAUAUAAAUUGAUGCUAGAGGUUAUAUGUAAACAGGGAAAAGAUGAGGAACAGGGGAGACUUUUGUUGUUUUGUAAUGUGUAA
rnacentral:lncRNA from 1 species